GUACUUGCUUCGGCAGUAUGUACAUAUAUUAAAAUUUGAAGGAUGACCCCUGUGCAAGGAUGGCACGCAAAAUCGUGAAGCAUUCCACAUUUUU